UUUUGCCCUUACGCUUCAAGAAAAGAUUAGGCAGCAAUCAAGAGCUUCUUGCCGUUCACAGCAGAGUAAAGACGAGCUCUGCCCCAGAAUGACACAUCGUCUACUCGGCUGUCUUGCUGUUUAAUGGUGAGCAUCAUUCCUCCGGGAAUGUCUCCCAUGAGGUCACCUCUCAGUCCAUAAAGUCCCCUAAGAAACAUUGCAGCCUGUCCGAUCCACCUUCUCCUGGAAUGUUAAGUUAAAUGAUCUGGAAACUAAGUUAAAGAAAUAAUGAACUCGUCACCAAGAACUUUUAAAUAAAUGGAAAAAUUAAAAUACAAUAAUUGACGCUAGACUUGGACCUUUGGGUUC
rnacentral:lncRNA from 1 species